rnacentral:rRNA from 1 species
UACAGAGGGUGCGAGCGUUAAUCGGAAUUAUUGGGCGUAAAGCGUGCGUAGACGGUUAUUUAAGUCGGAUGUGAAAGCCCCGGGCUCAACCUGGGAAUUGCAUUCGAGACUGAAUAGCUAGGGUGCGGUAGAGGGAAGCGGAAUUUCCGGUGUAGCGGUGAAAUGCGUAGAUAUCGGAAGGAACAUCAGUGGCGAAAGCGGCUUCCUGGACCAGCACCGACGUUCAGGCACGAAAGCGUGGGGAGCAAACAGG